UACAGAGGUCUCAAGCGUUGUUCGGAUUCAUUGGGCGUAAAGGGUGCGUAGGCGGCGCGGUAAGUCGGGUGUGAAAUCUCGGGGCUUAACUCCGAAACUGCAUUCGAUACUGCCGUGCUUGAGGACUGGAGAGGAGACUGGAAUUUACGGUGUAGCGGUGAAAUGCGUAGAUAUCGUAAGGAAGACCAGUGGCGAAGGCGGGUCUCUGGACAGUUCCUGACGCUGAGGCACGAA
rnacentral:rRNA from 1 species